CAGAGCUACACAGCCCGAUGCAUGUGCAUUCGACUUAGCCCAAACUUUGCGAGAUGGAGUGCUUAUAUGUUACCUUCUAAACAACUUAUCACCUAAUUCAGUGGACCCGAAAGAUUUCAGUCAGGGACCUCAGCUGUCACAGUUUUUGUGCUUGAAGAAUAUUCGAACAUUUCUUCAGUCAUGCCAGUCAGUUUUUGGUUUGAGCACCUCAGAUUUGUUUGACCCAUUAGACUUAUUUGAGGUCAGGGACUUCAGAAAGGUUUUGACUACUCUCUCCAAACUUUCAAACACAUCAAUUGCCAGAAGGAAGCACAGUGGUUUUCCUCCCGAGCGGACAUCUCAUCGGCCAUCGUGGCAAUACCAA